rnacentral:rRNA from 1 species
CACCUGCAGCGCGUAAGCGUGACGAGGUUAAUCCGAGUGACUCCCGCUGAGGGGGUCUUUUGUCAGCUGUAAAUAGGCAGGCGAAUAAGGGGAGGGCAAGCCUGGUGUCAGCCGCCGCGGUAAUACCAGCUCCUCGAGUGGUCGGGGCGAUUAUUGGGCCUAAAGCAUCCGUAGCCGGUUCCGUAGGUCCUCUGUUAAAUCCAACCGCUUAACGGUUGACCUGCAGAGGAUACCGCGGGACUAGGAGGCGGGAGAGGCGGACGGUACUCCGCGUGUAGGGGUAAAAUCCUUUGAUCCGCGGAAGACCACCAGUGGCGAAGGCGGUCCGCCAGAACGCGCUCGACGGUGAGGGAUGAAAGCUGGGGGAGCGAACCGGAUUAGAUACCCGGGUAGUCCCAGCCGUAAACGAUGCUAGCUAGAUGAUUCAUUCGCAAGUCGCGAAUGAAGUGUCGCAGGGAAGCCGUUAAGCUAGCCGCCUGGGGAGUACGGUCGCAAGACUGAAAC